rnacentral:lncRNA from 1 species
AAUCUAUUUAUUUAGGUUUAGGGUUUAUGGUAUAUUUGGAUUAGGGUUUAGUGACUAAAAUUUAGGGUUUAGUAUUUAGAAGGUAAGGGGGUAUGGUGGGGUGAGCAUUAACUUCUUUCAUGCACUCAUAGAGAUUUUAUAGUUUCACCAAUAUGUACUAUGUUAUUUAUUUUGUUUCAUUCUAUUUGAGUUUUGUGUUUAUAUUUGGAUUUAGGGUUUAUAUCUGAGUUAGGGUUUAGUAAUUAGAGUUUAGGGUUUAGGGUUUAGUAUUUUGAAAUUUAUGUUUGGGUUUUGUGUUUAUAUUUGGGUUUAGGGUUUAUACACUUUUUAUUUUUAAAAAAUUUAUGUUUCUAUCCACUCAUUCUACUGCAUAUAGUAUAUAAAUAUGUUGUAAAUAAAUUUGUGACAUGAGUUAUUUUAAGUGAUGUGUUCGUAAAUAAUAGUGAUUCAUUAUUGACCAGCAAUAUAAAUUUCUUAGAUGGAUUAAAUUGGUAUGUGGCUGCAUGUGUUUCAAUCAAAUAAAAUACUCUUAAUUUAAUCUUCACCCUAUGUUAUUUUAACUAAGUCAUAUCUAACAAUACAAUAUUACCGGAUGAUUACAGGAAUAAAGAGCAGAACCGGAUAAUAAUUGACAUAAAUGAUAGCUAUUACAUUACGUCAAAAUCAAUGCCACUCACUUAAUUUUGA